UACGAAGGGAGCUAGCGUUGUUCGGAAUCACUGGGCGUAAAGCGCACGUAGGCGGAUGUGUCAGUCAGGGGUGAAAUCCCGGAGCUCAACUUCGGAACUGCCUUUGAUACAGCACGUCUUGAGUCCGAUAGAGGUGGGUGGAAUUCCUAGUGUAGAGGUGAAAUUCGUAGAUAUUAGGAAGAACACCGAGUGGCGAAGGCGGCUUACUGGUCCGGUUCUGACGCUGAGGCGCGAAAGGCGUGGGGAGCAAACAGG
rnacentral:rRNA from 1 species